UAAUCAUCGGGCGAAGAAGCCGGAAAAUCCGAACCGCAUCGUCCUCGGUGACAUAUGGUAAGUCUGUCUAUCUAUCCUACUCUAUAUACAAUUCCACAAAUGUUUGUGUGGCUGCUAUCUGUUUCCACAGGAUCAUCGCCACCAAAGCCAAAGCUGGACGGGAUCAUCGACGACCAUGCAUGCAACCAAAGCCAAAGCUGGAUCGUUGCAGCAAGAAGAAGAUGAUGAGCAGGCAGACUUCCUGGACCUUAUAUAUCCUCGCUCGUCAACACGAGUACAGUCUCACCAGGCAGCACCUCAAGGCCAUUCUCGUCGUACGUACGCAUGCAAUCACGUGACUCAAUUCCAAGAGGGUGGAGAAAAUUUCGUUCCACU
rnacentral:lncRNA from 1 species